GUGACCAGGAAAGAGAGAACCGACGAGGCCGAUACACACAUUAAAAAAUGAAAAAGUAACCAUCACCGCGAAGGAUUUCCUCAAAAGACAAAUCAGCAAGAAGUAUGUCAAUCCCGGGGGCCCAUCGCCCCUCCAAAUUAAUGGAGGGGUCGGAUAGAAAUUUAUAGAAAUGUUACUUUUGUGAACCCCUAGCCGACGAGAGACUCUCACCGGUUUCGAAGUUCCAUUUUCACAUUCCGACCUGGGAUGUUAUGACUCCUCGGCCCACACUGCGAACGCGUCCCACACCCCCUCCAGUUUAUCAGGAAUUUCACCUGAGCUUGCAAUAGAGAUCGAGCGCGGUGGCGGUCACAGUGGUGGUCGACCAGGCGGAGCUGAACGGCCUCGGCAACACUUCUCCCCACCCUCCCAAAUGAAUGAGAGAAUGGCUUGACAUACCGAGGCCAUCGCCCCCCGCCAAAAAUGGUUACUAGCUCUUGGGACUCGCUGCGACGUUACGCGUAUCGGCACAAGACCAACCCUCUUUUUCAGUCGCCCGCGCACCAAAAAAAAUUUUGGCAGCGGGACUCACAAUCCUUGACAGCCAGCUCACCAUAUAAUACUCGGCGACCCUCCGCGGGACCUCCUCAGAGGGUCGCGUCGCCGGGAAACUAACCCCCACUCCUCACUGAUCCAAGGUAACACGCCAGAAGUAUCCAGGUAACCCCAGUAGUAUCCAGGUAUCCCCCCUGCGAACGUCGGUACUGGGCUCAAAGAGGCAGCGAGCAGUCGGGACCCGUAGGCACCGAGCAACCGUCACCCCCUCACGACUUUUCCCGAGACGCUUCAGAGGAACCCUUCCCCCACAUAGUACUCUCUGUGGGAUUCGGCAGGCCCCCCCGUCCUACUGCACUAAGGAAGUUCCGAGACACACUUUUUUUUGUGGAAGACCACCCACCCUCCCUGUCCUGCCUGCUAUCCCGCCGCGACUCCUGGUCCCGGCCCUCCUCCCCGACUUCCUCCUUGUCCCGCUGCGAGUCCCGGACCUCCUCCCCCACUACCUACUCCCGCCGCGAGUCCAGUCCCGGCCUUCCUCCACCUACUCCCGCCGCGAGUCCCAGUCCCGGCCUUCCACCUCCUCCCCCACUUCCUAGUCCCGUCGCGAGUCCCGGACCUCCUCCCCCUCUUCCUAGUCCCGGCGCGAGUCCCGGACCUCCUCCUUCUCUUCCUUGUCCCGCCGCGAGUCCCAGUCCCGUCGCGAGUCCCGGACUUCCUCCUACUUCCUCCUCCUCUUCCUUGUCCCGCCGCGACUCCCAGUCCCGGCGCGAGUCCCGGACUUCCUCCUCCUCUUCCUUGUCCAGUCCCGGACUUCCUCCUCCUCUUCCUUGUCCCGCCGCGACUCCCUAGUCCCUAGUCCCGGCGCGACUCCCUAGCCGUCGCCUCCCGGGACUCCGCCGCGACUCCCUAGUCCCGGCGCGAGUCCCAGUCCCGUCGCGAGUCCCGGUCCCGUCGCGAGUCCCUUGUCCCGCCGCGACUCCCUAGUCCCGGCGCGAGUCCAGUCCCGGCGCGAGUCCCAGUCCCGUCGCGAGUCCCUUGUCCCGCCGCGACUCCCUAGUCCCGGCGCGAGUCCCAGUCCCGUCGCGAGUCCCGGACUUCCUCCUCCUCUUCCUUGUCCCGCCGCGACUCCCUAGUCCCGGCGCGAGUCCCAGUCCCGUCGCGAGUCCCGGACUUCCUCCUCCUCUUCCUUGUCCCGCCGCGACUCCCUAGUCCCGGCGCGAGUCCAGUCCCGUCGCGAGUCCCGGACUUCCUCCUCCUCUUCCUUGUCCCGCCGCGAGUCCCGACCUCUGGCGCGAGUCCCAGUCCCGUCGCGAGUCCCGGACUUCCUCCUCCUCUUCCUUGUCCCGCCGCGAGUCCCGACCUCUUGUCCCGCUCCAUCAUUUUUUAAAAAUCAAUUUUAAAAUUAACUCCCUGUCUCGACUCCUUGCUGGCCGCCCAGUCUUGCGCCUAGACAGAAAUAUAAAUAAAAAAUAAAAUAAAUUGGUGAAUUAAAAAUAUUAAAGUAUUUAAUUAACUGGAAUAAGGUAGAAAAAUAAAAGGCAGAAGAAUACUAAAUUGAUUUUUUCAAGUGCCACGUGUACCUUGCUGAUGUGGCUGCCACGUGGUAGUCCAUGUCAUGUCAAAAAUCCACUAAAUCGUUUACAUGUCACUUUGGAGAUAAAUUUGUGUGUGUGCAAUCAAUUGGUUGUACAAAUAUGUUAAUGACUUGCUAACUAAUGCAUCGUACAGGUAAUCAUUGCCCACUAACUAAUCCAUCACCACUGAAACUUAAUGUCUUCAAUUCUUCAUCCUUCACACUCCACAUCCAAUUUAUUUUUGUUUGUGUGAAUUCUUAAAUCUAUCUUCUCUUUACAUCCCAACUUUCUAAACCCUUUAUAUAAUCUAUGUGAAUGUGAAUCCUAGAAUCUAGGUUAUAUACCCCAUGCAAACCCUAAACCCUAAACCCUAACCCCUAACCCCUAAC
rnacentral:lncRNA from 1 species